rnacentral:lncRNA from 1 species
UUCAAGGAGCGAAAACGAGAAUUUUCAGAAAAAACGAUUUUUGAGCUUCGGACCCUCUAGGUUCAGACCUUGAAGCCAGGGUCUGGACCUUGGCCGCGCUGGGCGAAGAACAUGCUAUGGGUUUUGGACCCUGGAGCCAGGGUCCAGACCCUGCGCACGCUGCCAGCCCAUAAUGAAAGCAUUUUGGUAAUUUGGCUUGAGGGGCCUUAUUAAGGGACCUUCAUCUCUUCUCUCUCAGCCAAGAACACACACACACAUGCUUGGAGAGAGAAAGAGAAGCUCUCCCUCUCCCUCACAACCUCAUCUCUUUC